AUGGCCCAGGGUCAGGAGCUGGGGUGCUGUAUGUCCUCCCGCUGGGGUGCUAUCUCCGCCUGCUGGCUCUACUGGGAGAGCAAGAGUUGGAGAAGCCGGGCAUUUGUUUUCUGGGGAGCUGAUCACACCCCACCAGCCCUGCCUGCUCCUGUGCACUUAACAUCCAGUGUUGUCACGGAUUAUUUAUGCUUCUAAUUCGUCUAUUCCUGAAGACAAAGACAGGCUCUCUCGGUAUUGGCCUCCUUGUCUAGCACAGACUCUUACAGAAUGCAGGCUGCAACAUUUAAAUAUUUGUCGAAUACAUGGAGGCUAUGUAAGUAACUUUUUACUUUAAAUUUAAUUGGACUUACUAGGGGAUCUUGAAAUUUAAAUGAAGACUCUAAAAUGAAUAAUAAAGAAAGGAAUAUCUUUAAAAACGAUUCUAAAAAAUUCACCUUUAAAGAAUGCCUUUAUAGAGUCAAUAAUUACCAAUUUGUUAAAUUUCCCGAAUCUGAAAUUCAUUAUAGUGGGUGUCAGUGGCCCUCUAGUGGCGCCAAAGGGUUACAGCAUUAGUUCCAGGCUCUGGAAACCCUGACCUUCUCUCAAGAUGGCUGCUCACCAGGGAGAAACGUUAUCUACUGAGCAGAGCAGGACAGUUUGGAGACAGAACAACGACAAGAGACAAAUGUUUCAGCAGCAACAGUGUAAUCAGCUCAACCAGUAACUUGGCCUUUUAUAUAGAAUCCUUAAUGGUAUUCCUCUGUUUACAAAACAAAGAAACAAAGACCCCAAAGCCUUAGGUGCUGGGGAAACGCAAAGCAGAGCUCCCUCUUCUGAGCAAACGAAGUUCUGAACGUGUUUGCUGCAAUUUCCUGAAAAGUUAAACCCACUGCAGUAAAGAACAGAGUGAGCCCUGUCUUCUUCAUCUUCAUUACUCCUCUCUCCUUUGGAUCAAUGGAAAUGAGCUUUGUUAGGAAAGUAGUCUCUUCGAGUGCUUAAGGGCCUGGCGUCAGGAGCAGAACUACCUGCGUUUUAAACCAGUUGCUGCUACUUACUAGGUGCCUGACGGUGGCAAAGUUCAUGACCGAUCUCAUCACGCUAGGGAAGACCAGACUUGGGAUCAAGCUGACACCUUGGAAGCCUGAGUGAAGAGACUGGAAAAUCAUUGGGCUGCUGUUGAGGUUGGACCCUUGGAUUCCGCCCUACCUGAACUUGAUCUACCCUGGGCUCUUCCAUUAUGUGAACCAAGAAUUUAUCUUUAUUAAGCCAGUUUGAUCUGGACUUUGUUACUCAUUUAAUAGAAAUAACAGAAAGCAUCCUAGCAGACAGACUGCACAAGCAAAUC
rnacentral:lncRNA from 1 species